AUCUUUUUUAAUUACUCAUUUCAAGUAAAAAAUAUGUAAAAAUUUUUUUCAAAAAAAAAAAAAGGGUGGGUUUUAAAUACACGCGCGAAAAAGAUCGCGCAGAAUUGAUAAUGAUCCUUCCGCAGGUUCACCUACGGAAA
rnacentral:misc_RNA from 1 species